rnacentral:rRNA from 1 species
ACAAGCGGUGAGUGCUUUGGGGUGGGGUGACUGCGUACCUUUUGUAUAAUGGGUCAGCGACUUAUAUUCUGUAGCAAGGUUAACCGUAUAGGGGAGCCGAAGGGAAACCGAGUCUUAACCGGGCGUUAAGUUGCAGGGUAUAGACCCGAAACCCGGUGAUCUAGCCAUGGGCAGGUUGAAGGUUGGGUAACACUAACUGGAGGACCGAACCGACUAAUGUUGAAAAAUUAGCGGAUGACUUGUGGCUGGGGGUGAAAGGCCAAUCAAACCGGGAGAUAGCUGGUUCUCCCCGAAAGCUAUUUAGGUAGCGCCUCGUGAACUCAUCUUCGGGGGUAGAGCACUGUUUCGGCUAGGGGGUCAUCCCGACUUACCAACCCGAUGCAAACUGCGAAUACCGAAGAAUGUUAUCACGGGAGACACACGGCGGGUGCUAACGUCCGUCGUGAAGAGGGAAACAACCCAGACCGCCAGCUAAGGUCCCAAAGUCACAGUUAAGUGGGAAACGAUGUGGGAAGGCUCAGACAGCCAGGAUGUUGGCUUAGAAGCAGCCAUCAUUUAAAGAAAGCGUAAUAGCUCACUGGUCGAGUCGGCCUGCGCGGAAGAUGUAACGGGGCUAAACUGUGCACCGAAGCUGCGGCAGCGACGCUUAUGCGUUGUUGGGUAGGGGAGCGUUCUGUAAGCCUGCGAAGGUGUCCUGUGAGGGAUGCUGGAGGUAUCAGAAGUGCGAAUGCUGACAUAAGUAACGAUAA